AGCGCAACCCUUGCCUUUAGUUGCCAGCAGUUCGGCUGGGCACUCUAAAGGGAACGUGCCGGUGUUAAACCGGAGGAAGGUGGGGAGUGACGUCAAGUCCUCAUGGCCUUUAUGACCAGGGCUACACACGUACUACAAUGGCCGAUACAAAGGGCAGCGACACUGCGAGGUGAAGCCAAUCCCGUAAAAUCGGUCUCAGUCCGGAUGGGAGUCUGCAACUCGACUCCAUGAAGUUGGAAUCGCCAGUAAUCGUGGAUCAGCAUGCCACGGUGAAUACGUUCCCGGGCCUU
rnacentral:rRNA from 1 species